rnacentral:tRNA from 1 species
GCCCGGAUGGCGUAAUUGGCAAACGCAGUGAGCUUAAAACUCGCGGCCGCUUGGCAAUGUCGGUUCGAAUCCGGCUCCGGGCACCA